rnacentral:rRNA from 1 species
CAGUAGCCACGGUAAUACGGAGGGCGCGAGCGUUACCCGGAUUUACUGGGCGUAAAGGGCGCGUAGGCGGCCUGGGGCGUCCCAUGUGAAAGGCCACGGCUCAACCGUGGAGGAGCGUGGGAUACGCUCAGGCUAGAGGGUGGGAGAGGGCGGUGGAAUUCCCGGAGUAGCGGUGAAAUGCGCAGAUACCGGGAGGAACGCCGAUGGCGAAGGCAGCCACCUGGUCCACUUCUGACGCUGAGGCGCGAAAGCGUGGGGAGCAAACCGGAUUAGAUACCCCCGUAGUCCCUGUCUCUUAUAC